CUCACACUCUGUCUCUCUCUCUGUCUCUCUUAAAAAAUAAUUAACAUAAAAAAUUAAAGUGCAUUGAUUUGGAAAAUCUUCAGGCUACUGGCUCAUGGGAGAAAUUCAGGAACCAGGGGUGCCUGGGUGGCUAAGUUGGUUGAGUGUCCGACUUGGGCUCAGGUCAUGAUCUUUUGGUUCCUGUGCUGACAGCUCAGAGCCUGGAACUUGCUUCAGAUUCCUCAUCUCUCUCUCUGCCCCUCCCCUCUCACACUCUGUCUCUUUAUAUAUAUCAAAAAUAAACAUUUAAAAAAAAAGAAAAAUUCAGGAACUGGUACUUGCCUGGUUCUAUGAGAUGUCUGCAAAUAGACCUUUUGCCCAACUGUAAAGCCUGUCUACCCAAAAAAAAAGACAAUACUGCCGCCUUUUUUUUUUAAAUUUUUUUUUUAAACAUUUAUUCAGUUUUGAGAGAGAGCAUGUGAGCUGGGGAGGGGCAGAGAGAGAAGGAGGCACAGAAUCUGAAGCAGGCUCCAGGCUCUGAGCUGUCAGGACAGAGCCCGACGUGGGGCUCAAACUCAUGAAUCAUAAGAUCAUGACCUGAGGUGAAGUCAGCCACUUAACUUACUGAGCCACCCAGGCGCCCUGAUAAUACUGCCUUCCAGGGACCCAUGGACAGUAGAUUUGAAGUUUCGGAAGUUUGGCUUGCUAGAUAGGAAAAUAACAACUGCCCCAGUAGUGUCGUCUGGAAUGGGAUUUGCUGAAUUCGUAUACUUCUUUAAAUAUGGUUACAUCAAAUUAUUGGUGGGCUCUUUGUGAACCCAGCUUAAACCCACUGUAUCUUAUCUUUUUGCAUUCAGAAAAGAAGCCUAAUUGUUUUCAAGCAUCCAGCCUUCUUCCGAAGAUCUUAUGUGGUUUGAGUGAUACCUUUGCCAGCUGCAUAGAUAGAUCUUGAUCAGUAACCGAAUCAGAGUAGCCCACACUUCUUGCCAGUUGGUUUAGAAAUCCUGACCUAUUGCGAUAUGUCGAAAGGACACCCAAGCCAAUAAACUCUGUCAAAUUGGCACAUGAAGGGGCUCCUACUCUGCAAAUCCAGCAGAAUUUGAGUAUCACAAAGAAUAACGUACCAGUGAAUCAAAAAAGAAUCCAAGUGCAUAGAGAUUCUCAGAGGAAAAACGGUGGACAAAGGUCCAGGGAAAGCUCUUUUCUACAGAAGCAUGCCAGCCAAAAAAUUUAGAAGGAAAGUGUGAGGAAACUCAUUUUGCAACCACCAUGUGUAAUAGUCGAUUCACCACUGGGUGCAAAGUUGCUGGCAAAAGGAACAUUCACGUGCUCUCAAAAUAGUGCCUCAGUUAAAAGGGGGAAAGGUACUUAUUUGUGGAUAAAUCUGAUGUACGCCACCUUAACAUGUCACAAUGAGCAUUACCAGUAGUGGGACGAUCUAAUAUUCCUCCUCAUGUCAUGGACAUCAUUGGAAGAACAUACUAUUUGUGGUAUUCUUGCCAAAAUGUUUACACUGAAUCUAAUCAUGACAAAAUAAGGCAAAUCUGGAUUAUGGCAUACUGUAUAAGACAACUUAAAAUCUUCAAAAAUCUUAAAAAAUAUAUCAAUGUCAUGAAAGCAAAUACAGAAAGAAAGCAAAUUGUUCUAAAGAAAACUAAGGAGGCAAAUGCAGUGAAUGAUCUGUGAUUGGAUCCUGGGCUUUAAAAAAAAAAAAGACUCUAAAAAGACAUAUUGGGGAUAAUUCGGUAAGUUUGAAUAGGGACUUCUAAUUAGACAUGGUUGCUUUAUCAAUGCUAACUUUCUUGGGUGACAUAGUGACCUUGUGGUUUUAUAGAAAAUUGCCCUUGUUUUCGGCUGAUAUUUGCUCAAGCACUGAAGGUUUAAAUGUUAUGAUAUCUACAACUUAUUUUUUAUUUAAAAAUUAGAAACAAAGCAAAUGUGGCAAAGCAGUGACAACAGCCAAAUCUAGGUGAAGGGUAUAUGGGUGAAUAUUGAACUUCACCUUUCUGCAGGCGUGAUUUUUUCAAAAUAAAGUGGGAAACAUGGAGAUUACAAAUCCUCAUCCACAGGACGAGUGAAAGGUAAAAGACAAUAUAUUACAUUUAUGAGUGCAGUUUAACACAGAACUUUCAUUAAUUGAUUUUAUAAAUGGGACAAAAUGCUAACCAGAGUCAUCUUUAAAACUGUAUAUAAAAUAGAAUAAUAAGACUUGUGCAAGAGACAUAGAAGCCUAGUGGAGAACUGGUUUUCUGCACUUGUUACCUCAAUAUAUUGGCCUUCCAAAAAAAUUAAAGAGUGAAGCUGGUUAGGAUCAACCUGUAAUGGCUUGCAGAGUCAGAAGGUGUCCCAAGAGUCAGUUUGUCAAUGUGUUCUGAAGGAAACCUGGGGCCCAGCCAAAGGCAAGCAAGGUCAUCCUCAGACAGAAACAUUUCUAAAGAAGGGUACAAAGUAAUCCUCUGGAACCAAACUACAAAAGGCACGGUGAAGUACCAGGAGGAUGGUGUUCCGUGUGGAGCAUAAGGAAAUUACCUUAAUUUUGUAUUAUCUGCUUUCUAUCAAAAGCGAUUUAAGGAGAUUGCUUGUAAUCUAAAUAGGGAAAAUGGAGAGUCAAUGCUUUUGUCAAGGUUAAUGCAGGACUUCUCAAUGUAAACGGUCAUUGCAUCUGGUGGAUGCUUUUCCGUACCCAGAAUGACAGACUAGUGCUUUGGGCUUUUCCCUCACUCUCAUGAAAAGUCUCUAAGACCAUGCAAUUUUCACCCUGGAUUCUGAUGCAGAACCCAACAACCUUUUGGUUAGCGAUUCAGUUUCCCAUUGACUUAAUGCUGGGAAAGAAGAAAUCCUAGAGAAUGGAAAUAUAUAAUCUACUCUCAAAGAAAGGGAUAUUCCACAUUGAAAUAAAUACAUUAACAUUCGG